rnacentral:rRNA from 1 species
UACGUAGGGUGCAAGCGUUAAUCGGAAUUACUGGGCGUAAAGCGUGCGCAGGCGGUUUUGUAAGUCAGAUGUGAAAUCCCCGGGCUUAACCUGGGAACUGCGUUUGAAACUACAAGGCUAGAGUGUAGCAGAGGGGGGUGGAAUUCCACGUGUAGCAGUGGAAAUGCGUAGAGAUGUGGAGGAACACCGAUGGCGAAGGCAGCCCCCUGGGUUAACACUGACGCUCAUGCACGAAAGCGUGGGGAGCAAACAGG